UGUAGUAUCAACUUCAGAUACCAACUGAUCUGUCUUGUCCUUUGCAGCAGCAACAAAAACACCACGCCAAAAUUUGGAUCAAUUGGGAGCUGUUUAAAUAUAAAUUACACCCACAAGUAUACCUUAUUGUGUAUAUACUGUCAAGAUGGAGUUAAAAUUCAGUUGCUUUUUUGUACAGUAAAAAUAAUGUCUCUCCUAACUCAUCUCAUCCCUCUGGUGUGUAAUUUACUCUUUCGAGUUAUGGCUGCAUGUACCAGAUUCUUAGAGUAAUUUGUAGCUCUCCUUAGCAUGUGAAUUUCCUUGGUACCAAUAUGUUAGUAUGUUAGUAUCUUGAAAGCCUCCCCAUCAUCCAAGUAUGGGGAGUAAUUAAUCACUGCCCGCAAUUUCCUCACAUUUCAUUUCAACUUAUUUUCGUGCUUCUAUUCAAUUAAGGUUCAAGCACGCUGUCCUGGUCACACCACAGCUAUCGGAGCUGUCUGUCCAGGACAGUGGGUUAGUUCUGAAUUGUUAGAGGGUUGCGAACCCAGUACCUACCAGCCUUAUGUCUGAUGGCUUAACCACGACGCCACAGAAGCUGAUCUUUUCCUCGCAGCAAGGUCUGAUGGCCAUAAUUCACAAAACGUAAUUUGUACUUGUAUCAAAUGCUAGCUAUUUUUAAUGUUUAAAUUCUGUUCUUUAAAUUACUUGAAAUUUACUUUUUGUUGCCUCAACUGAGGAAUUUCUGUUAAUUAAACAUGGAGAAUAUUUUAAUUGGUGAUCAUUUAUUUUGCAAACAUUUCUUAAAUCUUACAUUCAUUGACACGGAAGUGAUGAACAUGAUUCUGCCAAAUGAUAUAAAGUGAUAUCAAAAUUUUCCGUUCCAUUUCUGAUCCAUUCUGUCAUGAAUUUCACAUUUUACUUCACUGGUGUGUACAGGUGAAAUAUUUAUAUUGUAGAAUUAUAGUAAUAGGUAACUCGGCCCACAAUCAGGCUUGUAAAAAUAAAUAUUUAUUUUUGCAAAUUUAAUGUUACAUGUUUUGUUGUAGCGUCUGUGGAAAUAUGCUCACAUGUGGUAUGUUGGUUUUAGGAGCGUUUACUCUUUAAGGUAUGUCCUGUUUAAGUGAAUUGCAAAUACUUUGUUACUAGUAUUUUGUAGAAGUCUUUGUGGGUUUAAUAAAUUAAUGUAUAUCAAAAGCAAUUUUUGUUAAAAUGUUUAGUUGAUAUGUUUUUUUUUUACAUUUAAAAAAUUGUGAAGAAAUCUAGAUUUGGCUACUACAUCUUAACGACUAGUAUAUCAAAGGUCGUAGUUUGUCCUGUCAUGUCUGGGAAAUUACUGCUAAUGGAAAAAUGUAGUGGUUUUCCAUAUUUACAUAAAAUGUUCUGCAUUUAUUUAUUUCAGCAGUAAAUUAGAAAGGAGAUUUGAUCAAAUACCGGGAGGGUUGACAGGUCUGCCAGUAAUAUGUAGAAAGGGAGAAACACAUUGUUCAUUUAUGUGUAAGAUGAUGCAUUUUAAAGGUUGUCUUCACUUGAAAUGGAUGAAAUUUGACACCUCCCGUUAACAUCGACUCGUCCAGGACACCAUGUGGAACUGCUGAUUAAAUGACAAUACAAGACUAUAACUGAUGGUCAUCACUACAUUUUUAGCACUGCCAAUAUUCGCGGUGGAAAGAACUGGCUGGAACGAGAAAUAGCCCAAUAGGCCUACCAACGGGAAUCGAUUUCAAGAUCAACGCAUGAGACAAAUGCUGUACGACUGAGCUAUGUCCUGCCCCCAUUGAUUUGAAAUUUCAGUGGAUACAGACAGUUAAAUGUAAAUUCAAUAGGCAGCUAAGUUGUAUGGUAUUUUAAUGACAUGGGGGCCAUAUAUACAUGAAACUUUCAUCUUGUGUUGAUCAAGAUUCCAACCUACCAAAAAAUAAGUAAAUAUUAUUGAUGACUUGAAUGACGUACAAAAAAACUAAAUGUGAUUAACAUACAAUAUACAUAUAGUAAUUAACAUGAACAACAGUAUAGUAUCUAGCAUAUCGGAAUCAAGAAAAACCAAGACGGAUAACCGGAAAUCUAUUUUCAAGAUCCAGGUGAAGCACACUAGAACGAUACUAGAUGAUUAAAUAGUCCGUUAUAUUUAGAAAAAAUGUAAUUUCAGUA
rnacentral:lncRNA from 1 species